rnacentral:rRNA from 1 species
UACGUAGGGACCAAGCGUUGUUCGGAUUUACUGGGCGUAAAGGGCGCGUAGGCGGCUUAACAAGUCACUUGUGAAAUCUCUGAGCUUAACUCAGAACGGCCAAGUGAAACUGUUAUGCUAGAGUGCAGAAGGGGCAAUCGGAAUUCUUGGUGUAGCGGUGAAAUGCGUAGAUAUCAAGAGGAACACCUGAGGUGAAGACGGGUUGCUGGGCUGACACUGACGCUGAGGCGCGAAAGCCAGGGGAGCAAACGGG